UUAACUUAUUAUAAUAUUACUCAGACAACACAAAAAUCAAGAGUUUAGGGGGUCCUCUGGCAGACACGGACCAGCUUAAGCCAGUAGUCAAAAGACAGGCCUGCCAAAGCAACAAAGGUAAUAUAAACAAAGGGUGGGAGAUCUACCCCAAAGGGCAAUUCUCUGUAAUGAUCCUUCCGCAGGUUCACCUACGGAACGCUAUGGUCUACAACCUUUUCAGAGGUAGGCCGGUCAUAUCUGAAUCCAAGAGAGCCCCCCCUUGGACCACCUUCGUUUGAUCUGUGAACUGCUAUAAGCAGCUGCAUGUUACCCCGACGGUAUCCAGGCACAGUGAAGAUGUUGCCUACGUAGGUAGACUUGUAUCCAAGGCUUCUGCAGGUGUUGUUCUGCAAGAGAAA
rnacentral:misc_RNA from 1 species